UGGAAGACACGACUGAACUAAACGGCAGGAAGUGUAAUAUAUUCUUUUUAGGGGGGUGAAGACCCCAUAGACUGAUGGCAAGAAGUUCUUGCAAGGGAGAAGUUGUCAUCAUGUCUCUUACCAGCAGUCAAACACUGACUGUUCCUAAGCAUCUUAUUCAGCACCAACAGGACUGAUCACUCACAGGCAUGCCUGAAGCACUUCUGCAUUCUGUUGUGAUGAGGGAUAGGACUGCUGAGUGUUAGGGAACCUAAAUAAAGCUGUCUGAACGCAGUCAAUUUGUCUUCCGCUGCUAAGGGAAACCCAGUUGCACUGCCCACGCCUCUUCUGACCUGUGCACAGCACUACUCUUCUCGCCCCUGCAUUCUCCACAGCCAUCUCUUCUGCCAAUCAGGGUCCUUACACAGCAUAUGAAGAUCCCACCCACACAUAGUCCGGUCAUCCCGCCCUAGCAGAUACAGUGGCCAAUUAGUAUCUGCUGCAGGCACUGCCAGAUGGCGCCCAGCCGACCGGUGGCAAACGCAUCAGAAUCAGAAUAGAGGGUUUCAGAAUCUCGGCGCUGGUGUGUUAGCGAAAUAUCCUGCUGUGCCACCUGGGCGCUUCAAAUAUCUUUUAUUGCCCCCAAAAAUACAAAUGAUAGCAGGUCAGAGGUGUCCAUAUACUUUUGGCCUUACAAAGAGUCUUAGCAGAGAGUCUGCACAAAUACCAUUUUCCCCUAUUUCAUUUCACUUCAGUAACCGCUUCUUCUGAUCAAGGUUGUGGUGUGCCCAGUGUCAAGAGGCUAAACCUCUAAAACGUCUAAAAAUGUAAGUACUCAGAGGUACCCAAUGCCUGACAGAUAGUGACUGCAGAUGAGAACUGAACAAGGGUCCCAGGCUCCAUGCUGCACUGUUAUGCUACUCCGAAUUUA